rnacentral:rRNA from 1 species
GAAAUGCGAUACGUAAUGCGAAUUGCAAAACCUCGUGAAUCAUCAAAACUUUGAACGCACAUUGCGCUUCCGGGAUAUGCCCGGUAGCAUGCUUAUCUGAGUGUCCGCGAACCCCACUCAGCGCGCUGAUGAAGGAAACCUUAGCAGGUGGGCCUUUGUUGGUGCAGCUGGAAUAUGGCUUUGCAAGGUGUAGGGUGAAUCUGAUAUCGCUUCUCGGGUACCAGGUUGCCUGUUGGAUCACCUUGCUGUGCUUAAGUUUGCGUGUCGACGGGUAUGUGCUCGCCCAGUACGGGUGAGCUGGAAACAACCAUCACUGCUUGCGGGUACUAUGUGCUUGGUUCGCAACAAGGGUCCCGUCUCAUGGGUAGUUGCUCCCAGUUGUCGGAGCGAGACGGUUCGACCAGUGUUGGGACUAUUGGAUCACAUUGCAGCAGUGUUGGAGUCGAACCAUAUAGCUAGGCUUUGACUCUGUGUCGCGCGAAGCAGUACGCUUGGCCGAGUGAGAGUUGGAUGCUCCUAGUUCCCUUCGGAUCUCAGAUUAAGUAAGACGACCCGCUGAAUUUAAGCAUAUAAUUAAGCGGAGGAAAAGAAACUAACCAGGAUUCCUCA